AUAAUAACACACCUCAAUCCUGUCAUUGUCAAGGGCAUCAUCAUUCUCUCAGUAACCCCAAGCUCAAAAUUAGUAUCAUCCCAGGUUCCUCUUUCUUAUUACACAAAUCCAGUGAAUGACCAAGGCCAGUCCAUUUCACCUCUGCAGCAUCUCUUGUCCAUUUCCACCUUUGCAACAUCUCAUGUUGAUUUCACCUCUGCAAUAACUCUUAUCCAUUUCACUUUUACAAUAUCUCAGGUUGAUUUCACCUCUGCCACACCUGUGGGUUUCACCUUUUCAACAUUUCUCCUUGAUUUCACCUCUUGUCCAUUUUACCUCUGCAGCAUCUCUUGUCCAUUUCCUCUUUGCAGCAUCUUUUGUCCAUUUCACCUCUGCAGCAUCUCUUGUCCAUUUCCUCUUUGCAGCAUCUCUUGUCCAUUUCCCCUUUGCAGCAUCUCUUGUCCAUUUUCCCUUUGUAGCAUUUCUAGCCCAUCUGCAACAUCUCUGAUUAAUUUUACUUUUGCAGCCUCUCUUGUCCAUUUCCUCCUUGCAGCAUCUCUUGUACAUUUCCCCUUUGCAGCAUCUUUUGUCAAUUUUCCCUUUGUAGCAUUUCUAGCCCAUCUGCAACAUCUCUGAUUAAUUUUUG
rnacentral:lncRNA from 1 species